rnacentral:rRNA from 1 species
GACGAACGCUGGCGGCGUGCCUAAUACAUGCAAGUAGAACGCUGAAGAGAGGAGCUUGCUCUUCUUGGAUGAGUUGCGAACGGGUGAGUAACGCGUAGGUAACCUGCCUGGUAGCGGGGGAUAACUAUUGGAAACGAUAGCUAAUACCGCAUAAAAUGGAUUAUCGCAUGAUAAUCCAUUGAAAGGUGCAAAUGCAUCACUACCAGAUGGACCUGCGUUGUAUUAGCUAGUUGGUGGGGUAACGGCUCACCAAGGCGACGAUACAUAGCCGACCUGAGGGGGUGAUCGGCCACACUGGGACUGAGACACGGCCCAGACUCCUACGGGAGGCAGCAGUAGGGAAUCUUCCGCAAUGGGCGAAAGUCUGACCGAGCAACGCCGCGUGAGUGAAGAAGGUUUUCGGAUCGUAAAGCUCUGUUGUAAGAGAAGAACGAGUGUGAGAGUGGAAAGUUCACACUGUGACGGUAUCUUACCAGAAAGGGACGGCUAACUACGUGCCAGCAGCCGCGGUAAUACGUAGGUCCCGAGCGUUGUCCGGAUUUAUUGGGCGUAAAGCGAGCGCAGGCGGUUAGAUAAGUCUGAAGUUAAAGGCUGUGGCUUAACCAUAGUACGCUUUGGAAACUGUUUAACUUGAGUGCAAGAGGGGAGAGUGGAAUUCCAUGUGUAGCGGUGAAAUGCGUAGAUAUAUGGAGGAACACCGGUGGCGAAAGCGGCUCUCUGGCUUGUAACUGACGCUGAGGCUCGAAAGCGUGGGGAGCAAACAGG